rnacentral:rRNA from 1 species
CAGCAGCCGCGGGAAUACGGAGGGUGCAAGCGUUAUCCGGAUUUAUUGGGUUUAAAGGGUCCGUAGGCGGACUUAUAAGUCAGUGGUGAAAGCCUGUCGCUUAACGAUAGAACUGCCAUUGAUACUGUAAGUCUUGAGUAUAUUUGAGGUAGCUGGAAUAAGUAGUGUAGCGGUGAAAUGCAUAGAUAUUACUUAGAACACCAAUUGCGAAGGCAGGUUACCAAGAUAUAACUGACGCUGAGGGACGAAAGCGUGGGUAGCGAACAGGAUUAGAUACCCGGGUAGUCCCUGUCUCUUAUAC